UACGUAGGGUCCGAGCGUUUGUCCGGAAUUAUUGGGCGUAAAGGGCUCGUAGGCGGUCUGUUGCGUCGGGAGUGAAAAUUCACAGCUUAACUGUGAACUUGCUUCCGAUACGGGCAGACUUGAGGUAUUCAGGGGGAGAACGGAAUUCCUGGUGUAGCGGUGAAAUGCGCAGAUAUAGGAGGAACACCGGUGGCGAAAGGCGGGGUCUCUGGGGCCGAAAACUGA
rnacentral:rRNA from 1 species